rnacentral:rRNA from 1 species
UGGUCAAGUGAAGUAAGGGCGAUUGAUGGAUGCCUAGGCGAUCGACGGCGACGAAGGACGUAGAAGGUUGCGAUAAGCCACGGGGAGCUGCCAAACAAGCUUUGAUCCGUGGAUCUCCGAAUGGGGAAACCCUCUCAUCUGAAAAGGGUGAGAAUCCUACACUGAAUACAUAGGUAUAGGAAGCAAACUCCAAGAAGUGAAACAUCUCAGUAACGGAAGGAAAAGAAAUCAAAUCAGAGAUUCCCCUAGUAGUGGCGAGCGAACGGGGAACAGCCUAAACCGAGUGGACGCAAGUCCUUUCGGGGUUGCGGGACUGCAAUGUGGAAUUGUGCGAAGGUAAGUGAACAGUCUGGAAAGUCUGGCCAUAGAGCGUGAUAGCCGCGUAACAUAAACCAUAGCACAUCCUAGCAGUAUCCCAAGUACCACGGGGCACGUGGAACCCUGUGGGAAUCCGGGUGGACCAUCAUCCAAGGCUAAAUACGUACGAUCGACCGAUAGUGAACUAGUACCGUGAGGGAAAGGUUAAAAGUACCCAGGAAUGGGAGUGAAAUAGUACCUGAAAUCAAUCGCCUACAAGCAAUCGGAGGGCUAUGUCCCGCAAGGGAUAUGCCUGACGGUGUGCCUUUUGCAUAAUGAGUCAGUGAGUUAUUGGUGCAGGCGAGGUUAAGCCCCUAAAGGGCGGAGCCGUAGCGAAAGCGAGUCUCAAAUGGGCGAAUAGUCUGCACUAAUAGACCCGAAGCCAGCGCGAUCUACCCAUGAUCAGGGUGAAGGCCGCUUAACGGCGGCUGGAGGUCCGAACGAGUGGAUGCUGCAAAAUCCUUCGAUGAGUUGUGGGUAGGAGUGAAAGGCUAAACAAGCCUGGUGAUAGCUGGUUCUCCUCGAAAUAUAUUGAGGUAUAGCCUCGAGCGGUUACUACCGGAGGUAGAGCACUGAAUGGGCUAGGGAACUUACCAGUUUACCAAACCUAAUCAAACUCCGAAUGCCGGUGGGUUAACUCGGGAGUCAGACGUCGGGCGCUAAGGUCCGGCGUCAAAAGGGGAAGAGCCCAGACCGCCAGCUAAGGUCCCUAAAUAAUAGCUAAGUGUCUAAGGAUGUGGAGUUACUCAGACAGCCAGGAGGUUGGCUUAGAAGCAGCCAUCCUUUAAAGAAAGCGUAACAGCUCACUGGUCGAGUGAAUCUGCGCCGAAAAUGUACCGGGGCUAAAGCUAUUUACCGAAGCUGCGGACUCUAUAGCAAUAUAGAGUGGUAGAGGAGCAUUCCGUACGCCUGCGAAGGCCGACCGAAAGGACGACUGGAGGUAUCGGAAGAGCUUAUGCUGACAUGAGUAGCGAAAAAACAAGCGAGAAACUUGUUCGCCGUAAGUCUAAGGUUUCCUGGGGAAGGUUAAUCCGCCCAGGGUUAGUCGGGUCCUAAGCCGAGGCAAUAUGCGUAGGUGAUGGACAACAGGUUAAUAUCCCUGUACCGCUAAUAACGCGUUAAAACCUAAGGAGGGACGCAUGGAGCCGGAUGAUCCCACUAUCGGAUGUGGGUGUAAGUACGUAGGGCGUGUGUGAGGCAAAUCCCGCACACUUAUUUAAAUAUUGAGCCCGAGAUACGAUGCCGAAGAGGAGCAAUCCUCGCAAAGUCAUUUAUGCUCUGUGCCUAGAAAAUCUUCGUAGGGAGUGUUAUUAGUGCCCGUACCGCAAACCGACACAGGUAGACGGGUAGAAGAUACCAAGGCGCUUGAGAGAACCCUAGUUAAGGAACUCUGCAAAUUAGCACCGUAACUUCGGGAGAAGGUGCAUCUUGAUUUGUGAAAGAACUUGCUUCUGGAGCAUUUUGAGAUCGCAGUGAAAUGGUGGCUGCGACUGUUUAACAAAAACACAGGACUCUGCAAAGUCGAAAGAUGACGUAUAGGGUCUGACACCUGCCCGGUGCUGGAAGGUUAAGGUGAGAUGUCAGCUCGUAAGAGCGAAGCAUUGAUCCGAAGCCCCAGUAAACGGCGGCCGUAACUAUAACGGUCCUAAGGUAGCGAAAUUCCUUGUCGGGUAAACCAAAUGGAACUUGCCCGAGUGUCGACGCGAGUUGACACAUGUAAACCGACUCAUAUGGUGGAAACCCAACGAAUGUUGGACAAUGCCAUGGGAACCCUGAUAUAUAAUGUAUGUCGGGGACCUGAACGACUGAUCCGAAAGGAGAGAUUCAUCCCAGCGGAUGAAUAACACGUCGGCUCUUGCACAAGAAAGGUAAGCUAUGGAGAUGAAAUCGUAUGUCACUGGUUUUGUGGAUGGAGAAGGGUGCUUUUCGGUCUCGUUUUCUAUCAGAGAUAAGAUGAAAAUGGGAUUGGAGGUAAGACCGAGUUUUGCAGUCAGUCAGCAUAAACGUAAUAAGGAUAUUAUCUUAGAACUGCAAAGAUUUUUCGGUUGUGGCGGAGUAAGAUUUUGCAAGCGGGACCAGAAUUUUAAGUUUGAGGUAAGGUCCACAGCAGAUCUUAUAAAUAAGGUGAUCCCGCACUUUGAAAAGUAUCCACUGCAAACAUCUAAAAUGUCUGAUUUUGAGGCAUUUAGAGAAGUUUGCGGGUUGGUUCAUAGUAAUCAUCAUCUAAAUCCGGAAGGAAUGAAGAAGGUGAUAGAACUAAGUGAACUAGUGAACAAGACCGGUAAAAAGAGAUACGAUAGGAAUGAUCUCCUAAAACUUAUUGCAAGAUGAAGGAAUAGUCUGAACAUUAUGGCAACAUAAUGCUAACCAAUUGAAGUUCCGACCUGCACGAAUGGUGUAACGAUAGCCACACUGUCUCAACUGGGGACUCAGCGAAAUUGUACUGGCAGCGCAGAUGCUGCCUACCCGCGGAAAGACGGAAAGACCCUGUGCACCUUUACUGCAACUUGACAGUGUAAUUCGGGGCUGUUUGCGUAGGAUAGGUGGGAGGCUUUGAAACCUGGAUUCUGGUUCAGGUGGAGCCACCCUUGAAAUACCACCCUGAUAAUUCUGGAUUACUAACUUAUCUGCCUAUAUCGGCGGAGAGGACACUGUCUGGUGGGUAGUUUGACUGGGGCGGUUGCUUCCAAAAGAGUAACGGAAGCGCGCGAUGGUUCCCUCAGGCCGAUUGGAAACCGGCCGUUGAGUGUAAGAGCAAAAGGGAGCUUAACUGCGAGACUUACAAGUCAAGCAGGUACGAAAGUAGGUUCUAGUGAUCCGGUGGUCCCGUAUGGAAGGGCCAUCGCUCAUCGGACAAAAGGUACGCCGGGGAUAACAGGCUGAUCGCAUCCAAGAGUUCAUAUCGACGAUGCGGUUUGGCACCUCGAUGUCGGCUCAUCACAUCCUGGGGCUGUAGCAGGUCCCAAGGGUUUGGCUGUUCGCCAAUUAAAGUGGUACGCGAGCUGGGUUCAGACCGUCGUGAGACAGGUCGGUCCCUAUCUUCCGUGGGCGUUAGAGAUUUGAGGGGAUCUGUUCAUAGUACGAGAGGACCUGAAUGGACGGACCUAUGGUGCACCGGUUGUCACGCCAGUGGCACAAGCCGGGUAGCUAAGUCCGGUCGGGAGAACCGCUGAAAGCAUCUAAGCGGGAAACCCACCCCAAGAUAAGAUCUCUCUUUUAGACCACUCGUAGACCACGAGUUUGAUAGGCCAGGUGUGGAAGCACAGUAAUGUGUGGAGCUAACUGGUACUAAUUGGUCGAUUGAACUUGACCAUUUUC